GGGCUGGUGGCAUAACGGCAACGCGCCCGCUUGGCUUGCGGGAGACUCCGGGUUCAAAUCCCGGCCAGUCCA
rnacentral:tRNA from 1 species